rnacentral:sRNA from 1 species
CUUUUUGAUAAAGCGAGAGAAAGAGAGAGAAUGGAUACGAAAAAUAGAGAGACAAAAUCUCAAGGGUAAUUUUGUCUAUUUUCUCAGCAAAAACAAGAUAAAGUGCCUAAACUUUGAAAAGUGUCUAAAACGGAAAAACAUUUCUUAAAAGUGCCUCAUAGUGUCACAUUCCCUUUUAAUUAACUAUUAAUUUUAAGAUUUUACGACAUUAAUUUUAUAAUUUUGUA